rfam:Canis lupus familiaris chromosome 14, whole genome shotgun sequence.
AGGAGGAACAGCCCUAGUGGCGGGGCCAGAUCUGCAGCCCUGGAUUCAGCUCCCGCAGGAACUCCGGAGCUCUCCGUCUGCAGGGCCUGGAGGCUCCGGGGCGGG